UCCGUAGGGUGCAAGCGUUGUCCGGAAUUAUUGGGCGUAAAGAGCUCGUAGGCGGUCUGUCGCGUCUGCUGUGAAAACCCGGGGCUCAACCCCGGGCUUGCAGUGGAUACGGGCAGACUAGAGUUCGGUAGGGGAGACUGGAAUUCCUGGUGUAGCGGUGAAAUGCGCAGAUAUCAGGAGGAACACCGGUGGCGAAGGCGGAUCUCUGGGCCGUAACUGACGCUGAGGCGCGACAGCGUGGGGAGCAAACAGG
rnacentral:rRNA from 1 species